AGCGAACGCUGGCGGCAGGCUUAACACAUGCAAGUCGAGCGCCCCGCCAGGGGAGCGGCAGACGGGAGAGUAACCCGUGGGAACAUACCUUUUGGUUCGGAACAACUGAGGGAAACUUCAGCUAAUACCGGAUAAGCCCUUACGGGGAAAGAUUUAUCGCCGAAAGAUUGGCCCGCGUCUGAUUAGCUAGUUGGUGAGGUAACGGCUCACCAAGGCGACGAUCAGUAGCUGGUCUGAGAGGAUGAUCAGCCUCACUGGGACUGAGCCACGGCACAGACUCCUACGGGAGGAAGCAGUGGGGAAUAUUGGACAAUGGGGGCAACACGGAGCAAGCCAUGCCGCGUGAGUGAUGAAGGCCUUAGGGUUGUAAAGCUCUUUUGCCAGGGAAGAUAAUGAAGGUAACGGGAGAAUAAGCCCCGGCUAACUUCGUG
rnacentral:rRNA from 1 species